GUCAUUUUGCUCAAAGUAAUAGUGUAUUUCAUUUUGUCACCUGUCAUUAUAAGUUCUGGGGAAAAAACAUGAUGCAUCAGGGAGAGAAAGGAAGUCAGCAAACAUGACUCAACAUAACGUGAAUAAAAACUUAAAAACAUGACCUCUUCUGUGAACAUUUUCAGCCAUUUAAGAGUUUGUUCAGGAGCUUUCAAUGUUUUUCCAUGGUCCUUAUCAGCAGAUGGAGUUAACUAACACCAACUUAUCCUAACAAGUCAAGUUUCUUUUAUCUUGGUCUGUGUCAGGAUGACAUCUGUAGAGAAUACUACAGACCUGAUGGAGUCUGCAGAGGAUCAGAUGGAGAUGAUCACAGAAAAACUCGACCGGAUCCUCAGAGAGUCCGUGGACAUCUCCUCCUUCAACUUGGCUGAUCCUACACUGUUGUCUGAUUUAGAGGAACUGGACGACAGACUGCAAUCAGAAAUGAGAAAGCUAUCAGAACGAGUCUCUGAAGAGGAAACACAAGGGCCAGACGCCACAUCCCCCUCACUCGUCUGCCUGGCUCUCCACAACAGUGUCCAUCAUCUGGAGCAGCUCCGACAGCGGCUGGAGAGAGUUCAGUCAGCUGCCCAGGCUCUGGAUCACUUCCUGGCCACAGUGAAGGAAGUCAAGGCUGAUAUCCCAAAACUGCUGGCAAACCAGGAACCCAGCAGACAGCAGAAUGAUGCAGACUGGGAGCAGCAGAGACACUCUUGGCAGGCAGCAAUGCAGCAGAAGUUGCAGACUGCUGCGGAACAAUCUGAUAGUGUUGACAGCACUUUAAAGGCAGUGGGGAUGACUCUGACCAUGGAUGGUGCAACAGUGGCGUGCCAGGAUGUGUUGACAUCAUUGUCCCAGCAAGCCGUGGAUGUGGGAAAAGAGCUGAUGAGUGUCAGGAGGAGGGAGAGAAAAGAUGAGCUGUUUCCAAUGGGAAAGGAGCAGAUCCAGGAGUUGAAUCCUCUGGAAAUAGGUCAGAUAAAAAAUGGGGAUGAUUCAUCACGGGAGCAGCAGCAUCCAACUACAAGUAGGAUGGAAGAGGGGUCAGGGAUAGAGGCCAAAAGGAGUAGGCUGGAGGUAGAUACAAAGACACAAAGGGAGGAAGAGGCUGAAACAUGGAAGUCUGAUGGGGGUCUCGCAGAAGCCAAAGACCAGAGAAGAAGGAGAAGCAGCCAAGUGAAAAAAGAGGAAGAAGAGAAGGAGAGUUUGGCCCGAAGGAGAGGUGCUUUGUUAGGCACACUGAGGGAGAUAAAGGAGGCAGCUGAGCAGCUGGGGUUACAGGAGCCCACCCUGCCUGCUCUGCAACAGAGGUACAACACUGAUCUGGGUCAUAAAACAAAUCAUUCCAAGUACGGGUGAACAAUUAAUCAAAAUGUUAUCGAAAUUGUAUUAUAUUAUACUCCCAUUGUCUAGUAAUGAUUGUGUCCUCCUCUGUAGGACACGUGCCUUGACUGAGCUGAAAAGUCGUCUUGCUGGCCACCUCGCUGAGCUGCAGUACAUACGAGAUGCGUCUUCACAGUCAGAAAUCCCUGAUGUGAGUCAAACCCCAGAAAUGGAGGAUGUCUGGGAGGAGGUGACAAAAGCUGUAGCUGAAAGGUAAAGAGACCAAGUUCACUCCAUUGUGAUUUGCUUUGAUGACUUAUAGUUGUUUGCUGAGUUUGUGUUUGUCGCAUUAUGGUUCACAUGCAGGCUGGAGCGGUGUGAUAUCCUAACAAAGCUGCUGAAGAGGUUUCAGAGCAUUCGUGGUGAGCUGAGUUGGACACUGCAGAGAGCAGAGAGUACCAUCAGUGAACAAGCUUCCUACAUGGGGAGAGACAACCUGCACCGACUGCAGACUAAGGUAUACCACAGUUAAAUUGAGAUGAUGAAACGAAAUCAAAAUAAUUUCCUUGUCGCUGGCAAAUUGUUGACUACUCUGUGUGUUUCUUAGGUCCAGGAAACAAAAGCAGAGCUUACCAACCUUGGUGACAGCAUAGAGGAGGUCCGCAGUGUCUGCAGGCAGCUUCAAACUCAUUUACGUCACCUCCCAGAAUGCACCAUCGUCCCAUAUGAGGGAGAAGCGGAUGCUCUAAUGGACCGCUGGCUGGAUGUGAGUUCUGUCACUUUAAGGGUGCACUAUGUUGUGUGUGUGUGUAUAUACAUAUAUAUCUGUAUACAUAUAGUAUUUUGACUCUUUCAAAACAAAGCAGAAUAACUGACAGGUAAGAAAAAGAGAAGUUGAAGGCUGAGACAAAUACAAAAAACUUGAGGAGAAAAACUAAACUUAACCGAGAACAAACCAGUAAGACACAAGGAGACACAGGAAUACAGAUGAAAGAUAAGCUGCAAAUGUAAACAGACUGAUGACUGAAAAAG
rnacentral:lncRNA from 1 species